UACGUAGGGAGCAAGCGUUGUCCGGAAUCAUUGGGCGUAAAGCGCGCGUAGGCGGCCCUGUAAGUCCGUUGUGAAAGUCAAAGGCUCAACCUUUGAAAGCCGAUGGAUACUGCAGGGCUGGAGUCCGGAAGAGGCGAGUGGAAUUCCUGGUGUAGCGGUGGAAUGCGCAGAUAUCAGGAGGAACACCGAUGGCGAAGGCAGGUCUCUGGGCUGUAACUGACGCUGAGGAGCGAAAGCAUGGGGAGCGAACAGG
rnacentral:rRNA from 1 species